GUGCUAUCGAGAGUAGGUUGUGGUUGGGGUAAUGAUGGUUAUCGGCAUAGGGGGUGGUCUUGUUGGGUUGAAAAGGUGAAAUUUAUUAAUUAUUUAUAGGAUUGCUGCUAUAUGUCGGGGUUUUGAGUCUUUAAAGUUUAGGGGUUAAAAUAGGAUUAGAUACCCUACUAUACCUAAAUUAAAUUUGGGGCCUGCGAGUAGUAAACAGUUAUGAUCUUGAAACUCAAAGGAUUUGGCGGUACUCAAGCCUAGUUAGAGGAACUUGUGCAGUAAACGAUAGUCCGCGAGUAUCCGGCCUGGUUUUGUAGAUCUCAGUUUGUAUACCGCCAUUAUUAGAUAAUCUUUGAAGAGAGUUAUUUAGAUUGAUUAGGUUCAAGUAUAUUAGGUCAAGGUGCAGCCCAUGACCAGGAUGUUUUGAGUUACAAUGUAAUAAGUUUAUUACGGAUGGGUUGUGGCAGAAACCAACUUUGAAGGUGGAUUUAAUUGUAAUGGGUGUAAAUUACGCAUUGAUGAUAAUAGCUCUUGAGUAUGUACACAUCGCCCGUCGUUCUCACUUU
rnacentral:rRNA from 1 species